CCCUUAUAUAUGAAGCCCCGUUAUAAGACUCCAAGGUCCUUUUCGACCUCGCUUCCUGUUGCAGAGUUUCUUUGAAUGUAAGGUCAGCAAAAUAUAAAAGAUGAGAGAGGAUCCAUUUUAGAGAGAGAGAGAGAAGAGAUUGGACUUUUAGAGAGAGAGAGAGAGAGAGAGCGCUUUGUUGAGUUGACAGGGGUUUCGGUUACUUAACGGUGUUAACACAGAGAGAGACUGCCUGCACACUGAUUUCGAGUGUUAGAGAGAGAUGUUUUCAUGGAAAAUUCUCAUGCCGGCUGCACCGCAUUUCUAAAAACAAUGAAAACUAAUGGGC
rnacentral:lncRNA from 1 species